UACGAAGGGGGCUAGCGUUGCUCGGAAUUACUGGGCGUAAAGGGCGCGUAGGCGGAUAUUUAAGUUGGGGGUGAAAUCCCGGGGCUCAACCUCGGAAUUGCCUUCAAAACUGGAUAUCUUGAGUUCGGGAGAGGUGAGUGGAACUCCGAGUGUAGAGGUGAAAUUCGUAGAUAUUCGGAAGAACACCAGUGGCGAAGGCGACUUACUGGACACAUAUUGACGCUGAGGUGCGAAAGCGUGGGGAGCAAACAGG
rnacentral:rRNA from 1 species